rnacentral:rRNA from 1 species
GUGGGGAAUAUUGGACAAUGGGCGAAAGCCUGAUCCAGCCAUGCCGCGUGUGUGAAGAAGGUCUUCGGAUUGUAAAGCACUUUAAGUUGGGAGGAAGGGCAGUAAGUUAAUACCUUGCUGUUUUGACGUUACCGACAGAAUAAGCACCGGCUAACUUCGUGCCAGCAGCCGCUGUAAUACGAAGGGUGCAAGCGUUAAUCGGAAUUACUGGGCGUAAAGCGCGCGUAGGUGGUUCAGCAAGUUGAAGGUGAAAUCCCCGGGCUCAACCUGGGAACUGCCUCAAAAACUACUGAGCUAGAGUACGGUAGAGGGUAGUGGAAUUUCCUGUGUAGCGGUGAAAUGCGUAGAUAUAGGAAGGAACACCAGUGGCGAAGGCGACUACCUGGACUGAUACUGACACUGAGGUGCGAAAGCGUGGGGAGCAAACAGGAUUAGAAACCCGAGUAGUC